GAGCGGAUGACGGGAGCUUGCUCCUUGAUUCAGCGGCGGACGGGUGAGUAAUGCCUAGGAAUCUGCCUGGUAGUGGGGGACAACGUUUCGAAAGGAACGCUAAUACCGCAUACGUCCUACGGGAGAAAGCAGGGGACCUUCGGGCCUUGCGCUAUCAGAUGAGCCUAGGUCGGAUUAGCUAGUUGGUGGGGUAAUGGCUCACCAAGGUGACGAUCCGUAACUGGUCUGAGAGGAUGAUCAGUCACACUGGAACUGAGACACGGUCCAGACUCCUACGGGAGGCAGCAGUGGGGAAUAUUGGACAAUGGGCGAAAGCCUGAUCCAGCCAUGCCGCGUGUGUGAAGAAGGUCUUCGGAUUGUAAAGCACUUUAACUUGGGAGGAAGGGCAGUAAGCUAAUACCUUGCUGUUUUGACGUUACCGACAGAAUAAGCACCGGCUAACUCUGUG
rnacentral:rRNA from 1 species